rnacentral:sRNA from 1 species
AGAAUCCAGGGGACGGUUGCUGAGCGGGCCUGGGACACCGGGUCGCGGCGCCUCCCGCCCGCGCGUGUCUAAUCCAUCUGUCGGGUCCCGAAAGAGCUAAGCCGAGCCUGCGCCGGACGGGUGGGCUGGACUGAGAGAAUUCUCUGAGCUGGUGACAGGUGCCACAGGCACUGGGGAUCUCACCAGAAAGGAACCGACGGAGCUAGGGGCCAGCGAGAUGGCGGACGAGGCCUUAGCUGGGCUGGAUGAGGGAGCCCUUCGGAAGCUGCUGGAGGUCACAGCGGAUCUGGCAGAGCGGCGGCGCAUCCGCUCAGCCAUCCGGGAACUGCAGCGGCAGGAGCUGGAGCGUGAGGAGGAGGCCCUGGCAUCCAAGCGUUUCCGUGCCGAGCGGCAGGACAACAAGGAGAACUGGCUGCACCCACAUCCUCCACGACCUGGCCGUGGCAGUAGUGGUUACAGUCAUGAUGUCUCUGCAGCUCUCGGCAGCGGGAAGCUGAGCAGCGGGCUGCCCUGGCACGGCUGGCAGGGCAGCUGGAGUCCAUGAACGAUGUGGAAGAAUUGACUGCACUGUUGCGAAGCGCUGGUGAGUAUGAGGAGCGCAAGCUGAUCCGAGCUGCCAUCCGCCGUGUACGGGCUCAGGAGAUUGAGGCUGCCACCUUGGCUGGGAGGUUGUGCGGCGGGCGUCCCAACAGUGGCUCAAGAGAGGACAGCAAGGGGCGAGCGGCACACAGGCUGGAACAGUGUGAGGUGCCAGAGCGAGAGGAACAGGAACAGCAGGUAGAGGUCUCAAAGCCAACCCCCACCCCUGAAGGCACCAGCCAGGAUGUGACCACAGUGACACUCCUGCUGCGAGCCCCACCUGGGAGCACAUCCAGCUCACCUGCCUCACCCAGCAGUUCACCCACCCCUGCCUCUCCUGAGCCUCCAUUGGAGACUGCCGAGGCCCAGUGCCUUACAGCUGAGGUUCCAGGCAGCGCAGAGCCACCCCCCAGCCCACCCAAGACCACCAGCCCUGAGCCUCAGGAGUCUCCAGCGCUCCCCAGCACUGAGGGCCAGGUGGUCAACAAGCUUCUGUCUGGCCCCAAAGAGACCCCGGCUGCCCAGAGCCCCACCAGAGGCCCCUCUGACACCAAGAGAGCAGACGUGGCUGGACCCCGACCCUGCCAACGCUCCCUGUCCGUGCUCAGCCCCCGCCAACCAGCCCAGAACCGAGAGUCCACCCCCCUUGCCAGCGGACCUUCCUCGUUCCAGCGGGCUGGCUCUGUGCGGGACCGUGUCCACAAGUUCACAUCUGAUUCUCCUAUGGCUGCUAGGCUCCAGGAUGGCAUGCCCCGGGCUGCCCUAAGUCCCCUGACCCCCGCAAGGCUCCUGGGCCCCUCCCUCACCAGCACCACCCCUGCCUCCUCCUCCAGCGGCUCCUCCUCUCGGGGCCCCAGUGAUACCUCCUCCCGGUUCAGCAAGGAGCAACGAGGAGGAGCCCAGCCCCUGGCCCAGCUUCGAAGCUGCCCCCAGGAGGAGGGCCCCAGGGGGCGGGGCUUGGCUGCUAGGCCCCUUGAAAACAGAGCAGGGGGGCCUGUGGCACGUUCAGAGGAGCCUGGUGCCCCGCUGCCCGUGGCCGUCGGCACUGCCGAGCCAGGGGGCGGUAUGAAGACCACAUUCACCAUCGAGAUCAAGGACGGCCGUGGCCAGGCCUCCACAGGCCGGGUGCUGCUGCCCACAGGCAACCAGAGGGCAGAACUGACACUGGGGCUGCGGGCGCCCCCGACCCUACUCAGCACCAGUAGUGGAGGCAAGAGCACCAUCACCCGUGUCAACAGCCCUGGGACCCUGGCUCGGCUGGGGAGUGUCACUCACGUCACCAGCUUCAGCCAUGCCCCCCCCAGUAGCCGAGGAGGCUGUAGCAUCAAGAUGGAACCAGAGCCAGCAGAGCCUCUCGCUGCAGCAGUGGAAGCGGCCAAUGGGGCUGAGCAGACCCGAGUGAACAAAGCACCAGAGGGGCGGAGCCCUCUGAGCGCUGAGGAGCUGAUGACUAUUGAGGAUGAAGGAGUCUUGGACAAGAUGGUAUGGCCAGAUCCAGUGGGCUGGGGGUUGGCAGAGGUCAGCAGGCACCAGGUAGGCAAUGACGGGCUCUAUAUGCAGCUGGAUCAGAGCACGGACUUUGAAGAGCGGAAGCUCAUCCGGGCCGCACUUCGUGAGCUCCGACAAAGGAAGAGAGACCAGCGGGACAAGGAGCGGGAACGGCGGCUGCAGGAGGCACGGGGCCGGCCAGGGGAGGGGCGAGGCAACACAGCCACUGAGACCACCACGAGGCACAGCCAGCGGGCAGCUGAUGGCUCUGCUGUCAGCACUGUUACCAAGACUGAGCGGCUCGUCCACUCCAAUGAUGGCACACGGACGGCCCGCACCACCACAGUGGAGUCGAGUUUCGUGAGGCGCUCGGAGAGUAAGGCCACCUGGCGUCGCCCUGUGCCUGCCUGCCUGUCCGCCCACCUCCUCCAGCUCUUCCUUGAGCUCUCUCUCUGUGUCUUCAACUGUGCCGUCACUUUCUCUUCUCUGCCUGCGGCUAUCACCACCCCUCCAUACAGCCUCCCAUCCCAUCUCCUGAUGUCCAGCCCAGGCCCUCACCUGGUGCCCCUUCCCCUUUUUUGCAGAUGGCAGUGGCAGCACCAUGAUGCAAACCAAGACCUUCUCCUCUUCCUCUUCAUCCAAGAAGAUGGGCAGCAUCUUUGACCGCGAGGACCAGGCCAGCCCACGGGCCGGCAGCCUGGCGGCGCUCGAGAAACGGCAGGCCGAGAAGAAGAAAGAGCUGAUGAAGGCGCAGAGUCUGCCCAAGACCUCAGCCUCCCAGGCGCGCAAGGCCAUGAUUGAGAAGCUGGAGAAGGAGAGCGCGGCCGGCAGCCCUGGCGGACCCCGCGCAGCCGUGCAGCGAUCCACCAGCUUCGGGGUCCCCAACGCCAACAGCAUCAAGCAGAUGCUGCUGGACUGGUGCCGAGCCAAGACUCGCGGCUACGAGCACGUCGACAUCCAGAACUUCUCCUCCAGCUGGAGUGAUGGGAUGGCCUUCUGUGCCCUGGUGCACAACUUCUUCCCUGAGGCCUUCGACUAUGGGCAGCUUAGCCCUCAGAACCGACGCCAGAACUUCGAGGUGGCCUUCUCAUCUGCGGAGACCCAUGCGGACUGCCCGCAGCUCCUGGAUACAGAGGACAUGGUGCGGCUUCGAGAGCCUGACUGGAAGUGCGUGUACACGUACAUCCAGGAGUUCUACCGCUGUCUGGUCCAGAAGGGGCUGGUAAAAACCAAAAAGUCCUAACCCCUGCUCGGGGCCCCACGGAUGCUGGUGGACUGUGUGCCCCUGGUGGAGGUGGAGGACAUGAUGAUCAUGGGCAAGAAGCCUGACCCCAAGUGUGUCUUCACCUAUGUGCAGUCGCUCUACAACCACCUGCGACGCCACGAACUGCGCCUACGCGGCAAGAAUGUCUAGCCUCCCCGCCCGCAUGGCCAGCCAGUGGCAAGCUGCCGCCCCCACUCUCCGGGCACCGUCCCCUCCCUGUGCGUCCGCCCACCGCUGCCCUGUCUGUUGCGACACCCUCCCCUCCACAUACACACGCAGCGUUUUGAUAAAUUAUUGGUUUUCAACG